ACCUGUGUUGAUCUCUUGCUUAUAACCAAGGAAGGGGCGGUAGCAUGGGGUGUGCGGCAAGUGUUGGGUGUUGGCUGGGCGGUCUUUCCUUUCCUUCCUUACAAGAAACCAAUCACAGACUGCGGAGGAAACGGGAGUAGAUCCUGUAGAGUUGACCGAAACAAAACCAAAAGCAACUGCUUUGUGCCUACCUGUAAGGUCUGCAGAUCUCAGCUGUGACUUGAUCACUCCCUUGCUGAGAUAAGCACAGGUGGCAUGUUGAAAACGUAUCCAUAUAAGGCUACAGCUGGUGACGAGUUCUGCGGGAUAAUUAUGGGAACGUGUAUUGCAAAGUCCUUUCUCUGCAGGCUCUUGUCAGGCUCAGCCCACACAUAAUGCCCUAUGGCUCACCUUGAGCAAGCAGAGGCCUUGAGAAGAGGAACUGCAUGUUAACUUUUGCUUUUGGUGACCAACGGUAUCCGUCUGUUCAAGUGCUGGUUUUGAACCCUUUGCAAAACUUUGAUGUAGAAAGAAGAAAGGGUUGAACUUGGAAGGGACCUCCGGAGGUCACCUGCUCCAAGCCAACUGCUGAGGAGAUCUGCUGACUUGUUGUAACCCUCCUCCUCCUCUCUGAGCACGUGGUCCUCCCUUGAGAGCCCUCUGUGCUGCAUGCUCUCUCUCUCUCUUUCUCUAAUCUCUCUCCCUCUUUCUAAUCUUGAUUCCCUCUUUUCCCAGCACUCAGAAGCCCCGUUUUAGAUCCACACAAGAACAACAGCACUGUGCUAUAGCUUGGCUCUUCAGAGCUGCCCACCUUCAACAAUGGCCAAAAGCCAGAACUUGCAGGAGAAAGGUAUUAAGAGCUGCGCAGUCACUGUAAGACUUCCCGAAACACCCAAACAGUCCAAAGGUCAGGACUUUCCCUCUUUGGCGGUGAUGGCUCUGUUUGCACAACACAGCAGAAACACGUGCAUGUCUGUAAACAUCACUGACUCCUGGAACAACUCUGCUCUGGCUCUUCUUGACUAUGAAGUUUCAUAACUACCAUGCAGCUUCCUCACUUGAACCUGAAGGCCACGAUGAUUUCCUUCAGAACACGGGUGGAGAACUCACAUCUCUUCAGUGCUCACAGUGCAGGCAUUGAAUGGCAUGGAGAGGAAGGGUUGAUCAUUGUGCUGCCAUUCAGUGCAAUAUGAGUAGGCUGGAGAAAUAAGCCAACAGGAACCUCAUGAAGCUCCACCACAGGAAAUGCCAAGUCUUGCCUCUGGGGAGGCCCCCUACACUCCCUGUCCCUCACAAGUAGCAAGAAGCAGUAAGCUCAGGAAUUCAAGCCACCUAAGCACAUCACAGUGCUUCGAGCUGACUGGCUUGUAGAACAGCUUGUGCAGAAAGCUCUUAACUCCAGUAGUUCAGUAUCUGGUAUUUUUCUGCUUCUACCGCUUAAAUGUUUUCAUUACUCUACUAAGACUAUCAGUAUAUGAAAAGAAAUCUGAUUUUUGGGUGGUGCUGUGUGGAGCCAGGAGUUGGAUUCGAUGACCCUCGUGGGUCCCUUCCAACUCCAAAUGUUCUGCAGUUCCAUGAAAAAGGCAUCUAAUUGCUGCACGAUCAGAAGUACACCUUGUAACUCAUUUUCUGGGAAACUGGAAAAUAAGAAC